ACUUCUUGAAUUGUUGAUUGCUACAGAUUUAGUUAAUGACUAGAGAGUAGACCCCUUUGCUUCUCUGUUGCAAUUAUGAGUUAAGACCAUUAUGGAAAUGUGGAUUACAUUUGUUAUUUUCAAGUUAGAAAACUUGACAACUACAAAUUCCUUUGUAAGAUUUAUCAACCAGGUGAAGUUUGCGCUUCUUUGUUGCAGUCUAAUGUGCACAUGGAUUUGUUGCAGUCAUCCAGUGAAAGGUGUGAUUAAAUUGAGCUGUUGCAUGCAGUCUUUGGUGCUGAUGUUGUCCUGGAGUGUGGGAGAGUCCCAUGCUUCAAGUCUUCUGGGAUCAGCCAUAUCCGAGUUGGCACUGGAUCAUGCUGCAUUGUGGU